GGCACAGAAAAGUGUAACUAAAGAGAAAAUUUCCUAUGUCCCUGAUGGAUCGAGAGUGCACUACUGGGCUGUGCUGAGAGCUGGCCAAAUCACAGCAAUUAAAAGAGAGGCCUCAGAGUUGAGGAACAGGGGCUCUGUGACCCAGGCUGACCAGUGACAGGAUUUCUGUGGUGCUCACAGCCAAAUGGCAUUAGGACUUGAGUUACUCCCGACACUUGCUUGAAAAGAACUGGUGGUUGGCUUCGAUGCUGUCAUAUCCCCUGGGGCUCAAGCUAAGGGAUGAGGCUCCGGGCCACCCUCCUCGCCCAUCCUCGACCCCCAGAAGCCCAAUGAGUCCCAGAGCACACUUUGUGGAUUAGACAGACCGGUGGUCACAGAAGAAAUGUGCUUUUCUUAGCACAAAGCCAGUCGUGAGCAGGACCAGACGCAUGAGGAGGCCCCUGAUUGCCUGCAGAUGUCUGAACGACACCCAACUGGCAGGCCUGUGCUCUCUUUCAGAUCUGGCUUCCAUUCCUGUGGCGUGUGAGACGAGGGGACCCUUCUUCAGGGACUCGUGGGCAGUGUGCCGAGAGCUCGAUGGAAACUACUCCUCCCUUUGGAAGAUGGAACCAGAAGAGGAAACCGCCCUACACCUGUAGCUGACCUUUGCAAUAGAAAGCUUCAACUCUAAACCUAGGCCUGUGGGAGCUGCCCCAGUUCCAGGCACACAAGGCAAAUGGCUACAUCCUUGCUGCCUCAGGCCUCCUCAAAAUGCAUCUUCCAGGGACCGAGAAUCCACCCUGCUCCACAAGGAAACAUGUGAGCGUCAGCCAGACACCUUCUCCUCCAUCAUCUCCCGCAGUCCUUCCAUGUCUAAUUCCUGAAACCCAGAUGUCUGCUUCAGGAGCCUAAAAUAAAGUCUCAACUGUUUCACCGUCA
rnacentral:lncRNA from 1 species